UUCUAUGUUUGCAGUAAAAUUUGCAUGAAACCUAGAAAGAUUUGUUUCUAAAGAGGUGAACCAUUCUAACAUCUGUUUGCACAUGAUCCCAGAUGCUCGAGGAUGCCAAUUUCCAUAGUGUCAUCGCCCAAGACCGCACCGACCAGUUCCUGGGGUCCUGGAGAGGUAGCUACCUUUAACCGAGAAGACCAAACAGGCUUUCUAGGCACCUAUGUUAACGUUUUGAAUCCUAUUUAUUUUGUGCCUUUUCUUUUCAUCAUCUCUGGUUAGUCACUAUAUCCACCUAUGUUCUAUCACUGGGAGGACUACGACGACAUCGUAAAGGGCUUGAGCUUGAAGCUGAAGCAGAGCUGCUUGAGUGAUCCACUGCUUGAGGUGAUAGGAAUAUAUUGUUGUGGCAUUACAGUGGCGUAUUGGUAAUUGAUAGUGCUGAUUCCGGAUACAUGUAAACUCCUUAUAAAUACUUUCAUUUAUACCGUGAAUAUGUUGUGGUGCUGCCGUCGUGUAUAUAUGUGUCACAUGUUACUACUUCUAAGACAAGGCUUAUGAUUUCAAUAUGUA